rfam:Schistosoma margrebowiei strain Zambia genome assembly, scaffold: SMRZ_scaffold0003110
GCACUGCUGAUGUGUCCCACAAUAGGACGAAACGGCCGUCCAGUGC